CAUUGGGUGACUACGUGAAAUGGGAGGAAUGGUGGUACAAGUACCAAGAGUGGUUGAAGCGUGAGCGAGCCUACGAGAGAUGGGCUGACGCUGAUCAAGGCACCAUCCGGCGCGAGCGUCGCCGGCGAGGGGGCCGCCACCGGCGCAGCUGAGGCCACGCCGCCCCCGCGGCCGUCCUACAGGUGGACCUGGCCGAGGGGGCGCCCCGCCUUUAAAUGGUGUGGCACUCUCAUGCCGACGCGUUUGCGCAUUGUGUUAACAGCAGUGCAUUCUAGACUUUCAAACGUUAAUCGGGUGAUAAAAACAGACAUUUAUUUACUUCUGCUUUGUGCAAUUAUAAUCAAAAACAUAUUAUGGUUUUCGUCGCUUCAUUCUUUAAGUAUAAUUUAAUUUACCACGUACUCUUUAUCAUUAUAAAUUUGUCUAUAAUAAUUAGAUUAUUUUUUGUGAAAAUGACAAAAUAGCCACGGACAUAAGAUCUCGACCCCAAGUCUGGUAAUCAUAAAUCGUCUCUGUUGUGUGUAGACAGAGUGUCAAUUGCUGGAUUUGGUACGUUAAGUAUUCUGCUAAAAGUUAAAAGUACACAACAAAGUAAGUCAACUGCAUUGCAAUUUUUUGGUAUUCUGCUCUUCAAUAGCAUAGUAUGUUAGUAUUAUAUAUCGACCCAUCCUACGUUAAGUAUCGUAUGUCGAUAUAUUUAAUUUAAAGAUAAAUUACUGAAUAAAGCAGAAAAAAAUUAAGAUAUGCUUAGUAAUGUCUAUGGUAGUUUUAGUAGGGCAACAUCGAUCGUUAGUGAUUCAAUUAAUGAAUGCCUUCUCCGCCAUUCCACUGACACUCAAUGAGACUCAACUGUCAUUGUAUUGCAACUAGAUUUUAGCAGAAUCGUCGCCUUAUUUUCUCCAACUCGUACCUUAAGGCAAAAAGUUACUGAAAUGCAAAAAAUGUGUU